AGAGUUUGAUCCUGGCUCAGGACGAACGCUGGCGGCGUGCGUAACACAUGCAAGUCGGACGGGUUUCUUGGCUUCGGCCAGGGGAUCAGUGGCGGACGGGUGCGUAACACGUGCAUAACCUGCCCGGGUGUGGGGGAUACCCGCCAGAAAUGGCGGCUAAGACCGCAUAGGGUCGCCUUGGGGAGCUUGAGGCGAAGAAA
rnacentral:rRNA from 1 species